GUCUGUUUUUCGAAUUUGCAAGUGUAAUUCUUUUGUACUAUUUGUAUACAACUUGAUUUCGUGACAGAUUUUAGCCAAAUCUAGGUCAAUUUGUUAUUAGUUUAAUAAUUGUAUGUUUAUCGUGGCUUUGGAUAUUUGUUUCAACGUUUUUCAUAGAAUAUAUGUAUUAAUUCUUA
rnacentral:lncRNA from 1 species